rnacentral:rRNA from 1 species
AUUGAACGCUGGCGGCAGGCCUAACACAUGCAAGUCGAGCGGUAGAGAGGAGCUUGCUUCUCUUGGGAGCGGCGGACGGGUGAGUAAUGCCUAGGAAUCUGCCUGGUAGUGGGGGAUAACGUUCGGAAACGGACGCUAAUACCGCAUACGUCCUACGGGAGAAAGUGGGGGAUCUUCGGACCUCACGCUAUCAGAUGAGCCUAGGUCGGAUUAGCUAGUUGGUGAGGUAAAGGCUCACCAAGGCGACGAUCCGUAACUGGUCUGAGAGGAUGAGCAGUCACACUGGAACUGAGACACGGUCCAGACUCCUACGGGAGGCAGCAGUGGGGAAUAUUGGACAAUGGGCGCAAGCCUGAUCCAGCCAUGCCGCGUGUGUGAAGAAGGUCUUCGGAUUGUAAAGCACUUUAAGUUGGGAGGAAGGUCAGUAGCUUAAUACGUUGCUGAUUUGACGUUACCGACAGAAUAAGCACCGGCUAACUCUGUGCCAGCAGCCGCAGUAACAC